rnacentral:lncRNA from 1 species
UCUUGUUAUUUGUUGACCCUGUUAAAAUGUCCAGGUCAUUUGUGUUACUUAACAUGUUAUAUUUAUGGGUUGUGUUCGUGUUUGGUACCCGUGUUAAUCUUGUCAUGUCUGAUCUGUUAAACACGUUUUGCCAUCUCUAUGUCUGACAUGUUAUAUAAACAUGGGGUUGGAGGUUUGAAGUUAGCAAGUGAAUUUGAGCAGAAAUCUAGACUAGCUUUCAUGGAAUUGUAAUUGUGAGCAUGACACCAUGUUGUUGAUGGAUAUAUUGAUCUUUCCAAAAUUCGAUCGGAUUGGAUCAAGAUGUUAAAAUCCCAUGAUCAAGUUUGGGAUUUUAUGUAAGACCCUAUGCAGGAUCAACACGUUUUCACCGAACAAAACUGUAGAAAAUUAAGAUCUUAAAAUCAAGAUCCGGGAUCUUAACAACCAUGGUCUAACGGACACUAGGUUGUCUAGCUAACGCUUGCUUGUUUAUUAUUUUGUUUUUUUUUUUUUACAAAUUGUUAAUGUAUCAAAGUAAUAAUCUAAGUUGUACGUAAAGCAUAUUUUAGGAGGUUACCCUGAGUAACUUACAUAUCAUUUUUACUCAAUCUUCUAAAGUUUGUGCAUUUGACGGACCCGCUAAAGAAGGUAUAUAACCCAAAUUGACUCAUUUAAAAGUCAACGGGUCGCAGUUUCUACAUGUUAUGAAACACUAAAGGAGUAGCUAGUAAUCCAACUAAUCUUCUCAUUUCUUCUGUUGUUUUGCAGGUUGCAAUUUUAGCAGAACUUUUGGGAUCUGGAAGAGCAUCAAAAAGGCUAUUGACUUUUUACUACAUCUUUGUGGGUUUUGCGGUUUUAGCCAUUGCACGAGGUCUGCUCCCAAAUUCUCAAAGGUCAAAUGCAAUUGGCAUACCAUCCGCACGAGUCAUGAAAAAGAGAGCUUGAGCGGUUUACCAAAAUGAGCAAGAAUGCGUCACGUCUUGCUAAUUAGCCAAAGGUGCGUGCUCAUGAGCGCAUGCUAAAGUUUCAACUGGUUCCCUGACAAUAUCCACGUAUGCUAGGAAAUUAAAUGCUUUUUCAUAUGUUCUUACCUACGCUAGAGUUUCAUUGCAAGCAAGGUCCACUGCUUUUGAAUCACUGAAUUUGUGAUAUGAACCAAUGCCGUAUAAAAGUAAUUAGAUGUGUAAUUUUAAUCUUUUAGUUAUGAAGGAUCCUUAAAAUUGUUUUGUAUCAUUUGAUCUAUAGAGUGGGGCUAAAAUUAACGGUAUGAUUUAGUUAAACAUAUUGCAACAGUUGUGCAAUCUUUAAUGUUGGUCUUAUAUGUUAUUGAGUUGUGCUUUAUU